rnacentral:rRNA from 1 species
UACGUAGGGUGCAAGCGUUACUCGGAAUUACUGGGCGUAAAGCGUGCGCAGGCGGUCAUGCAAGCCAGAUGUGAAAUCCCCGGGCUCAACCUGGGAACUGCAUUUGUGACUGCAUGGCUGGAGUGCGGCAGAGGGGGAUGGAAUUCCGCGUGUAGCAGUGAAAUGCGUAGAUAUGCGGAGGAACACCGAUGGCGAAGGCAAUCCCCUGGGCCUGCACUGACGCUCAUGCACGAAAGCGUGGGGAGCAAACAGG